GUGGGGAAUCUUCCGCAAUGGACGAAAGUCUGACGGAGCGACGCCGCGUGAGUGAUGAAGGUCUUCGGAUUGUAAAGCUCUGUUAAUCGGGACGAAAGAGCCUAGUGUGAAUAAUGCUAGGAAGUGACGGUACCGGAAUAGAAAGCCACGGCUAACUACGUGCCAGCAGCCGCGGUAAUACGUAGGUGGCAAGCGUUGUCCGGAAUUAUUGGGCGUAAAGCGCGCGCAGGCGGAUCUGCCAGUCUGUCUUAAAAGUUCGGGGCUUAACCCCGUGAUGGGAUGGAAACUACAGAUCUAGAGUAUCGGAGAGGAAAGUGGAAUUCCUAGUGUAGCGGUGAAAUGCGUAGAUAUUAGGAAGAACACCAGUGGCGAAGGCGACUUUCUGGACGAAAACUGACGCUGAGGCGCGAAAGCCAGGGGAGCGAACGGGAUUAGAUACCCGUGUAGUCC
rnacentral:rRNA from 1 species